rnacentral:ncRNA from 1 species
CUUUUUGGGUUUUAAAGUUCCCACAGGGAUAACUGGCUUGUGGCAGCCAAGCAUUCAUAGUCGCUUUGUGAUCCGUCCAUGUCAGCUUUUCCUAACAUUGUGUAGCAGAGAUUGGUCACUCACUAACAGGGAACGUGAGCUGGGUUUAGACUGAAAAUGUGA